AUUGAACGCUGGCGGCAGGCUUAACACAUGCAAGUCGAGCGGGGUGAUGGCGCUUGCACUAUCACUUAGCGGCGGACGGGUGAGUAAUGCAUAGGAAUCUGCCUACUAGUGGGGGAAAACAUCUCGAAAGGGAUCCUAAUACCGCAUACGUCCUACGGGAGAAAGCAGGGGAUCACUUGUGACCUUGCGCUACUAUGUGAGCCUAAGUCGGAUUGGCUCGUUGGUGGGGUAAAGGCCGACCAAGGCGACGAACUGUAGCAGGUCUGAGAGGAUGAUCCGCGUCACUGGGACUGAGACACGGCCCAGACGGCUACGGGAGGCAGCAGUGGGGAAUAUUGGACAAUGGGGGGAACCCUGAUCCAGCCAUGCCGCGUGUGUGAAGAAGGCCUUAUGGUUGUAAAGCACUUUAAGCGAGGAGGAGGCUCUUUUGGUUAAUACCCAAGAUGAGUGGACGUUACUCGCAGAAUAAGCACCGGCUAACUCUGUGCCAGCAGCCGCGGUAA
rnacentral:rRNA from 1 species